AAAAAUAACUUAAAAAUGGGAGCAGGGGGUUAAUCGCUCAUCUGAGCAGAAUUCCUCUGGGCUGCCUCUGCUGGUGCCUUAGAACCCUUUGAGGAGCAGUGGGUGCUGUCUGGGGUUCUCUUCUCAGCAUAGGCACUGACUCUGGGUGCUCCAGCCCUGGCGGCUCAUAGCACCCAUGGAAAAAAAUUAGUGGGUGCUUAGCACCCACUGGUGGCCCUACUGAUCAACUCCCUCCCCACUCCCGGAUCAGCUAUUCCCAGGCCUGCAUGAGGCAGGAAGGGAGGAGCUGGGACUGGUACACUUAGGGAAGGGGGUGGAACUGGGCAGGAAGAGGCUGGGGUAGGGUGUGAAGGGAGCUUGGGCAGAACUGGGGUGGGAAGAAGCAGGGUGAGAGGUUGGAGAAAAAGGCCUGAUGGGGGCAGGAUCUGGGGUGGAGUGAGGCUCAAGCACCCCCAGGAUGCCAGUGCCUGUGCAGCAUGGUGUCCCUAUCAGAUUCUCUACUUCUGGCCCUGUUACGUCACUCUGGUUCCUAUUUUCUUAUUAAUUGACCUCCAGACUCAUUUGAGGCCCAGGUUCUGUCACUCCUCCCCUUAGGCUGGAGGAGGGACCUUCAGGUGCUCCCAGAUAUCAACAGGAGGUUAUCCCUAGAAAUCAUGUUCACAGCAAUCAGAGUAACUCUGGACACAUGGGAGUGAGCCAUGCAGAACUGUCAUGUUUCUUCUAGUGUGACAGUUUAUAACAGGCAUAUGGAGCAAUCCAUUGUCAGAGAAGCCUGAGCUGAGCAUGUGGAGUCAAUGGAGCAAUGGAGUCAAUAUGAGCAUCUCCACUGAAGUCAAUGAAGUUGCACUAGCGUACAUCAAGGCUGAGUUUGGGAUCAUAGAGAAAAUAAGGAAAAGACAGACCUAGCCAUAGGAACUUGGAGAAGGAUUAUGGAAUUCACUGUAAAAUGAGUAAUCUCUAUUGGCCAAGGGAUGGAGAAAGUCCUGACACAUUCAAGAUCUCUGGAUUCUGGGCAAAAGGCCAGACACAUCACAGUGAAGACUUGGGGAAUAUAUUUUCUAUAAAAAUGUUUUUCCAUACAACACAAUUAUUGGUUUGUAUUUUAGACAUUUAAGAUUUGUAUUGUGGGGCAAGUGCUGAGGAGUAAUAGUAAUGUUAAUGAUCAAGAGAAACCCACUAGAAGAUAGUUUGGUUGAUAAACAGCAAGUUUAAAUCUGUUUUAUGUGGCAUCUAUCUGUCAAAGGUAUUUCUAGAGCACCUAUUGUCAUGGUAUCUUAAUCUCUUAAAAGACAGUACAACUUCUGUCCUCUCCCCAGAGAACCCCAAUAUUUGCUCCUUCUACAUACAGUACUUCCCCAGCAGAAGCUCAAAGCACUGGGGACAUAAUCCUUUCCCUUGAGAGACUUUUCCAGUGCAACAGACCUCACGUUUUCAGUUUCCAUGGCUGCAGAUUCAAUAUGACAGCAUUGUAUUGGUUAAGAUGUCUUCCCAACCAAGAGAGCUAGAUGCUUCUGGAAGUUUUAAAUGGCAACUUUGCUUCUGGGGAAUCCAGAAAAUUCUGUGGAAAGACAAAUCUGUGCUUUCCACAGAUCUGAAUUGUCCUUAUUUACCUUGAUGACUAGGGGCUGCUUUCCCACUCUGACAGAAUGAUAUGCCAGGCUACUGUUUUUCCUACUACUUGUGGAGCUAUGCUUCCCAUAUGCACUCUUAUUUCUCAACUUCCUCUCUCACUCAUCCUUGUUUAUUGACCAGGAAGUACCUGAUAUUACAAUACUUUUCCUUGUGUACCUUUUCAUUAAACAUCUAUGUUACACUAUUUAUGAUAUAAUACAGCACAUGCCAUUUGCUUUUCAAUAAAUAGCACAUUUAAGAAAUAACAAUAAGAAACAUUUAAGAUGAAAAUGUGUGCCUGGAAAAUCCUUAUUAUUCUGUUAGGAUGAUGAUCCACAGUACACAAGUUACAGCUUUUUCUCCCCGCUCAGGGAUGUUUUUAUUCAAGAGAGGUGAACUAUCCUGAAAUAGUGGAAGGGUGGUAGUCACAGAACUUGAAUGCAGCAGCAUCUGAACAAAGUUUUGAUUUACUUUUUUUUUGUUUCUUAAUAGUUAAUGUUACUGAGUAUGUUCAAACUGGGCUAAACAACAGCAGAAGAAUCUCAUUUGGUCUUGUAAUUAGAGCUGGAUGGAGAACAAUUCCAUUUUGCAACAACUUUUGAGGUUUUGAAAUUUGUUUUCAUUCUCCAUUGGAACAAAAUCAACACCUUUCAAAUGUUUUUGCAAAAUGGAAUUGUGUCAAAAUGACCAUCAUCAAAUUAAAAAGGUCAGGUUUUUUAUUCAGGUGUCUCUCCAGUCACCAGUGACAAGAGAGCCCCAGAUCUCAGAAACCUAUCAAUUAAAAUGUUGUCAAAAAUGAUACAUCUCUGUGAAAUGUAUCAGCUUCGUUGAUACAACAUAUUCCGACAAAGUACCUUUAGUCAAAAAUGUUCCAACCUGCUCUAAUUGUAAUUAGUAUUGGGAUUAAUUUUAGGCACAUUGGAAAUUUACAAGACUUUCAUUCUACAGCACAUUUUUUAAGUUUUGAGGUCUUUCAGUCAUGUGUAAUUCAGUAUUCCUGGUUUCACUUUCAAACUGAUGUUUACUAAUAAAAACCUACCCCCAAAAAUAAGAAGCUUUUAUUAAUAAAUGUGUGUUAAAACAAAACAAAAUGGAAACUAUUUUAACACUCAACCCACUCCCUGCAUUUCUGUCAUCAUUUCUUGUCAAUUUCACAGUUGAAGGACUUGGUGAGAGGCUAACCCAUGCCAAAAAGUUGCCAGAUUAGGCCUAAGCAAUUUGAUUGCACAACAGGAUAUUUAUUUAAAACUUUCCAAUAUUUUUCUGUUAAAAAUAUUCAAAACUAGAAAGACUAUAUAUUAAGAACAUAAGAACGGCCAUACUGAGUCAAACUAAUGGUCAUUUAGCCCAGUAUCCUGUCUUCUGACAGUGGCCAAUGCCAGGUGCUUCACAGGGAAUGAACAAAACAGGCAAUCAUCAAGUAAUCCACCCACUGUCAUCCACUCCAAGCUUCUGGCAAGCUGACAAGUACUAAUUUAAAGAGAAUAGAAACGAUAUAUUCUGGACCUAAAUCCCUUUUUGAAUUAGUGGAGAUUUUAAGACCUAUCAAUCUCUUGGUUAGUUUGGGGUAAUUAAAAAUCAACCCCUGACUGAAAUGUAGGACAUUGGUCCAUUCCCAAGACAAAAGCCAAAUGCUUCCAGGAAAACAUACUAAGGAAACAUAGAUACUAAAGGAAAUAUUGUGCAACUCCACUCACACUGAGAAUCUUAAAGAGCAUGCUGAACACUGCCAAAAGAAUCCAAACUAGACAAAUAGGAGCAAUAGCAUGCAAGUUGAAAAGUGCAGUUCUGACUAGUAGGAAUUCAGGAACUAAAAAUAGCUUACUAUAUUUAAUAUGCCACUCUAAAAAAGAUCCUUUAUGAUGCAUCACAUAAGAAUUCUUAAGUUUUCCAGGUGGCUGAAAACUGACCAGCCGUUUUUCCAUUUUCUUGUUCAAAAAAUAUCUUGUGAACAACUGUGGGGGGCAUAUAUUUUGCUACAUGGUGCAAAAGAAAGUCAAAUAAUGGAAAUCCCAGAGAAAUGGGGCAUGGAGCUAUCCAGAGGAGAAAGAUGGCUAUGAGAUAGCUUCCCUCAUAUCACACUGCCACUUCUUUCUUCUCUGACACCACUGUAUUAGGCAGCUGAGUGAGGAGUAGCCAAGAGGAUGGUCAUAGGUGUCCAAGGAAUGGCUAUUUAGCAUGGUACAGUUCUCUCUCAGUGCAGCAGAACCUUUGGUGAAAUUUGCUACAUAAGUUACUAUUGCCCUGAGUAGUAAUAAUUUCCCCUCUGUGGCUUUAACAGCCCAUGGAAGGAGUAUGAGCUGCCAGUUGGCCAGGCAGUGACACCACAGUGGAGACAAAAAGUACACUGGGGGGAACAUGGAUGGGCGAUGUUUCAUUGGACAGAGAUUUUUAGGACCCAGAUUUCUAUGAGAAAUGGAAGCCCUGCCCCCAGUAGUUUUACUUUCCUGACAGAUCCCGCUCCCAGAGGGCACAAUGCAAAAGAGCAGUAGCCCAAUAAAGGUCAUGCAGCUAUGGGGGUCAGAGCUUUUCUUCUGUGCAAUUUUAUACGGGAAGAAGAGCACCUUGAAAGGGCCUGUCCUUUGUCCCUAUACAUGCAGAUCAGCACAGAGAUUAGGCAUUAUCCAAUACAUGGAAAGGAGGACAGAAUUAAUGCUCAGCCAGCUUUCAUUAACAUAAACCCAAACAACAUGGGAAAGGACAGGGAUGACUACACUCUGCUCUUUCACGGGGAAAAAAUCACUAGUAGGAAUGGGAAGAAUUUAAAGCAGGAAAAUGAAGCCUUUUCUGUAGGUGUAUAGUUAAAGUUUCAACCACCCUCCAGCCAACUUUUCCUAGGCAUUAGAUCCUGGAUCUUGGAAGGGUCCCACUGUGUGGGUAAUUCC